AGGUCGGCGGAGAAUGCGCGGGUCGAGUGCUGUAGUUCGAUUUUUGCGUGUGUGCGUUGCUUGCGGCCUUUGUGCCUUUUUAUUCUUUGCUUACCUUUAUGAUAUAAAGACCUUAUUUCUUACAAGGAGGAAAAGACCGCUGACUUCAGAAACAGCGGGAACCCCAGCUCGUCCCCGGUAAUUCAAGAGGAAACGCUUGAGCAAUUACUGAUGUUGUAAACUGGGAUCAGAAGACAUACAUGGUAUCGUAUCCCAGGCAAGGCACAGUGGCUCACACCUGUAAUCCCAGCACUUUGGGAGGCUGAAGAAGGCAGAUCACUUGAGGUCAGGAGUUCGAGACCAGCCUGGCUUACAUGGUGAAACCCAUCUCUACUGAACAUACAAAAAUUAGCUGGACAUGAUGCAUUCCCAGUUUACAGCUGAGGAAAUUAAGCUUCAAGUUGCCCAAGUUUAUAGAAUGAGUCAAUGGCAGAGGUUGAACUCAGAUGACAAAAUUGGGGUCUGGACGUGUGCAAGGACUUUUCCAAAGUCAGCUGGAAAGGAGCUGCUUAGCUGAGAGGUUCUGGCUCCAGAGUCUCCUGUGAAGUUGCAGUCAAGAUGUCUGCUGGGACCCCAGUCAUUUGAAGCCCUGUCUGGGGCAGGAGAAUCUAGGUCCAAAAUGGCCGUUGCAGGAGUCCUUAUCCACACCAUGUGGGACCUCUUCAUAGAUGUUCGAGUGUCCUCAUGGCAUGGCCACUGGCUUUCCCCAAAGUAAGCAGUCCAAAAGAGGGUAAGACAGAGCCCACACUGUCUUUUAUGAAUUAGCCUUAGAAGUCUAACACGGUUACUUCCACCACAUUCAUUAGUCGUUAGGUACAGCUCACAUUCAUGGGGAGGAAAAUCAGGGCCUGUCUUUAGAUAGGAGAUGUAUCAAAGAAUUUGUGGACAUAUUUUAAAAUCACAGCACUACUCUUGAUGUACUAAGUCAGUGACUCCCCCAGGAGUCUCACAGAGAAUUGACUCCUUGCCCACCUAUACUACCUUUGUGGGUAGAGACUCCAGUAGUGUGCUGGUUAAUGUUCAACCAGUGGCUUUCUAGAAAACAAAAUGUAUGGAUACAUAUAUAUGUUCUAAGUUUUACUGAUAUGAAGAAUGUGUAGCACAGAAUUUAUAAAUAAUAAAAUAUACAGUAUUAUUUAUUGUAAAUUCCAUAAAACCUGUUGUUUUUCACAAAAGGUUUUAGUUUAUUUUUCCCAAAUGCUUGUAUUGGUAACAUUUUCUGUAUUACCUUUUUAUGUCCAGACAAUCAACAAAACUGAAAAAGCCCAGCCUUGUAGCAUUUGCCAGUUAUUGUGUAAAUGUCCCCACUAUGGUGGAUUUCAGGUUACCACUAUGAUAUCACAGAAUGCAGAAUUGGAAGGAGAUUCACAGCAGCACCCCAUUAUACUAUAUUUUCACCAUACAGAUGCAGUCGAUGUAAAUUACCUGAGGAGCAUAAAUAAUAAUAAAAUGAAGUUAAAUAA
rnacentral:lncRNA from 1 species